ACGAAGGGGGCUAGCGUUGCUCGGAAUUACUGGGCGUAAAGGGCGCGUAGGCGGGUUGUUAAGUUAGAGGUGAAAGCCCAGGGCUCAACCCUGGAACUGCCUUUAAUACUGGCAUCCUAGAGUAUGACAGAGGUGUGUGGAACUCCGAGUGUAGAGGUGAAAUUCGUAGAUAUUCGGAAGAACACCAGUGGCGAAGGCGACACACUGGGUCAUUACUGACGCUGAGGCGCGAAAGCGUGGGGAGCAAACAGGAUUAGAUACCCUGGUAGUCCACGCUGUAAACGAUGAGUGCUAGUUGUCGGGCGGCAUGCCGUUCGGUGACGCAGCUAACGCAUUAAGCACUCCGCCUGGGGAGUACGGUCGCAAGAUUA
rnacentral:rRNA from 1 species